rnacentral:lncRNA from 1 species
CUCUUACAAAUACUUACGAUGAUAAGUUACAUAGAAUUUUUAGAAAAAGAUAUAAGAAACAUACAGUUACUAGAAAAACAGAUAAAAAUAAAUAUAGACAAAUACAUGGAAAAUAAAGAUAUAAAAUACAUAGAAUUUCUUAAUAAAAAUAUGCAAAAACUAUUAAGGCUAAAACAAACAACUACAAAAUAUUAUAAUAAAACCA